GAUGAACGCUGGCGGCGUGCCUAAUACAUGCAAGUCGAGCGAAUGGAUUGAGAGCUUGCUCUUAUGAAGUUAGCGGCGGACGGGUGAGUAACACGUGGGUAACCUGCCCAUAAGACUGGGAUAACUCCGGGAAACCGGGGCUAAUACCGGAUAACAUUUUGAACCGCAUGGUUCGGAAUUGAAAGGCGGCUUCGGCUGUCACUUAUGGAUGGACCCGCGUCGCAUUAGCUAGUUGGUGAGGUAACGGCUCACCAAGGCAACGAUGCGUAGCCGACCCGAGAGGGUGAUCGGCCACACUGGGACUGAGACACGGCCCAGACUCCUACAGGAGGCAGCAGUAGGGUAUCUUCCGCAAUGGACGAAAGUCUGACGGAGCAACGCCGCGUGAGUGAUGAAGGCUUUCGGGUCGUAAAACUCUGUUGUUAGGGAAGAACAAGUGCUAGUUGAAUAAGCUGGCACCUUGACGGUACCUAACCAGAAAGCCACGGCUAACUACGUGCCAGCCGCCGCGGUAA
rnacentral:rRNA from 1 species